rnacentral:rRNA from 1 species
GAUGAACGCUGGCUACAGGCUUAACACAUGCAAGUCGAGGGGAAACGCCGGGGAAGCUUGCUUCCCCGGGCGUCGACCGGCGCACGGGUGAGUAACGCGUAUCCAACCUGCCUCUGACUGAGGGAUAACCCGUCGAAAGUCGGCCUAAUACCUCAUGGUAUCGUCUGCGGGCAUCCAACGACGAUUAAAGAUUUCAUCGGUCAGGGAUGGGGAUGCGUCUGAUUAGCUUGUUGGCGGGGUAACGGCCCACCAAGGCUACGAUCAGUAGGGGUUCUGAGAGGAAGGUCCCCCAAAGUGGAACUGAGACACGGUCCAAACGCCUACGGGAGGCAGCAGUGAGGAAUAUUGGUCAAUGGGCGAGAGCCUGAACCAGCCAAGUAGCGUGCAGGAAGACGGCCCUAUGGGUUGUAAACUGCUUUUAUGCGGGGAUAAAGUGAGGGACGUGUCCCUCAUUGCAGGUACCGCAUGAAUAAGGACCGGCUAAUUCCGUG